AGUAACACGUGAGCAACCUGCCUUUCAGAGGGGGAUAACAGUUGGAAACGACUGCUAAUACCGCAUAACGCUGCGAUGGGGCAUCCCGAUGCAGCCAAAGGAGCAAUCCGCUGAAAGAUGGGCUCGCGGCCGAUUAGCUAGUUGGUGGGGCAACGGCCCACCAAGGCGACGAUCGGUAGCCGGACUGAGAGGUUGAUCGGCCACAUUGGGACUGAGACACGGCCCAGACUCCUACGGAAGGCAGCAG
rnacentral:rRNA from 1 species